GUGCCAGCAGCCGCGGUAAUACGGGGGGGGUAAGCGUUGUUCGGAAUUACUGGGCGUAAAGGGCUCGUAGGCGGCCAACUAAGUCAUACGUGAAAUCCCUCAGCUUAACUGGGGAACUGCGUGUGAUACUGGAUGGCUUGGAUUUGGGAGAGGGAUGCGGAAUUCCAGGUGUAGCGGUGAAAUGCGUAGAUAUCUGGAGGAACACCGGUGGCGAAGGCGGCAUCCUGGACCAAUAUUGACGCUGAGGAGCGAAAGCCAGGGGAGCAAACGGGAUUAGAUACCCCAGUAGUCC
rnacentral:rRNA from 1 species